UUCUGUCGGUUGGUCCUGGAGCGGCGCAGCCGGAGUGGGGCCGUGAGCACGAGUACACGAGACAGGAUUGAGAAAGGAGAGAUUCAAAUUGUGACUUCAGAUUCAAAGGCAAUUAAAGGAAUUAAACGAGAAUAAAGGCAGCCCCGUUGAUGACUGAAAAUGACAAAGCAUCCACCUAACAGACGAGGAAUCAGCUUUGAAGUGGGAGCCCAGUUGGAAGCCCGGGACCGUUUAAAAAACUGCUCUGUCACCCAGGCUGGAGUGUGGUGGCACAAUCUUGGCUCAUUGCAACAUCCGCCUCCUGGGUUCAAGCAGUUCAGCCUCAGCUGGGAUUACAGGUGCCCACCUUGCCAAGCUACUGUAUGUUUUUUUUUUUUUUUUUUUUUUGAGACGUAGUCUUGCUCAGUCGCCCAGGCUGGAGUGCAGUGGCUCGAUCUCUCCUCACUGCAAGCACUGCCUCCUGGGUUCACGCCAUUCUCCUGCCUCAGCCUCCCGAGCAGCUGGGACUACAGGCACCCACCACCAUGCCCAACUAAUUUUUUUGUAUUUUUUUAGUAGAGACGGGGUUUCACGGUGUUAGCCAGGAUGGUUGCGAUCUCCUGACCUCGUGAUCCACCCUCCUCGGUCUCCCAAAGUGCUGGGAUUACAGGCGUGAGCCACCGCGCCCAGCCUAAUUUAUGUACUUUUAGUAGAGAUGGGGUUUCGCCAUUUUGGCCAGGCUGGUCUCAAAUUUGUGACCUCAGGUGAUCCACCCACCUUGGCCUCCCAAAGUGCUGGGAUUACAGGUGUGAGCCACCGCUCCUGGCCCGUUUAUUUAUUUAUUAUUUUUUAUUGUAUUUUUUUUUAAAUGGGUGCUUAAAUUCCAGUUUUUCACCUGAGACACAGUGCUGUGUGAAUGUCUCUUUGUGCACAUACACAGACUUUUACUUGGGCAGUGGCUUUUGACCACAACCUACAGUAAGAAAUGUAUUUUAAAUCCAGUGUGGUACUCAACCAUAUGUACAUAAAAAUUUAUUUUUAUUUUGUUUUUAUUAUUAUUUUUUUGAAACGCUGUCGAGACAGCGUCUCACUUUGUUGCCUAGGCUGUAAUGCAGGGUCGUGAUCUUGGCUCACUGCAAUCUCCGCCUCCCAGGUUCAAGCGAUUCUCGUGCCUCAGCCUCCUGAGUAUGUGGGAUUAUAGGUGUGUGCCACCAUGCCUGGCUAUUUUUUUUUUAUUUCUAGUAGAGCCGGUGUUUCACCAUGUUGGCCAGGCUGGUCUUGAACUCCUGGCCUCAGGCGAUCUGCCCAACUCGGCCUCCUGAGUGCUGGGACCACAGGCCAGAUCCAUGGCACCCGGCCUAUUUUUAUUUUUCCAGACAAGGUCUCAUUCUGUUGCUCAGGUUGGAGUGCAGUGGUGGGAACAGAGCUCAUUGCAGCUUUGACCUCCCUUGGCUUAAGCAGUCCUCCUGCUUCAGCUGGGACCACAGGCACAUGCCACCACGCCUGAUUUUUUAUUAUUAUUAUUAUUAUUAUUAUUAUUAUUAUUAUUAUUAUUUUGAGAUGGAGUCUUGCUCUGUCGCCCAGGCUGGAGUGCAGUGGCGCAAUCUCGGCUCACUGCAAGCUCCGCCUCCCGGGUUCACGCCAUUCUCCUGCCUUAGCUUCCCGGCUAAUUUUUUGUAAUUUUAGUAGAGACGGGGUUUCACUGUGUUAGCCAAGAUUUACCUCGUGAUCUGCCCGCCUUGGCUUCCCAAAGUGCUGGGAUUAUAGGUGUGAGCCACUAUGCCCAGCCACACGCCUGAUUAAUUUUUAAAUUUUUAGUAGAGAUGAGGUCUCACUAUGUUGCCAAGGCUGAUCUCGAAUUCCUGGGCUCAGGUGAUCCUCCUGCCUUGGCCUCCCAAAAUGCUGGGGUUACAGGCAUAAGUCACCAUACCUGAUCUAUAUAAAUUUAACUGAAACACAAAUUUUAUGAAGUAGUAUUUAACCUUAAUACAUGCAUUAUACUCUGGUAUUUUUUUCAGUUCUUUUUUUUUUCGUUUGGGACAGAGUCUUGCUCUGUCGCCCAGUCUGGAGUGCAGUGGCACAAUCUUGGCUCACUGCAACCUCCACCUCCUCCUGGGUUCAAGCGAUUCUCCUGCCUCAGCCUCCUGAGUAACUGGGAUUACAGGCGCCCGCCACCACACCCAGCUAAUUUUUGUAUUUUUAGUAGAGACAGGGUUUCACUGUGUUGGCCAGGAUGGUCUGGAACUCCUGACCUUGUGAUCUGCCCUCCUCAGCUUCCCAAAGUGCUGGGAUUACAAGCGUGAGCCACCAUGCCUGGCAUUUUUUUUUUUUUUUUUUUGAUAUGUCUCACUCUGUUGCCUAGGCUGGGGUGUAGUGGUGCAGUUACAACUCAUUGCAGCCUUGACUUCCAGGCUCAGGUGAUCCUCUCACCUCAGCCUUCUGAGCAGAUGGGACUACCAGCACAUACCAUCAUGCUAGGCUAAUUUUUUGUAUUUUUAGUGGAGAUGAGGUUUCACUAUGUUGGCCAAGCUGGUCUUGAACUCCUGACCUCAAGUGUUUCACCUGCCUCGGCUUCCCAAAGUGCUGGGAUUACAAGCGUGAGUCACCAUGCCUGGCACAUAUUUAGGUUUUUAAUCCACCUGGAAUUCAUUUUAUGUGUAGUAUGAACUUGUAUCUAAUUAUUAUUUUUUAAUUCAAUGAAUAACCAGUUGCUCCAAUAUCAUGUUUAGAAUAGUCCAUUCUUUCCCUAUUGACCUGCAAUACCACUUGUAUGUACUAAGCCUCAUAUUUACAUAGGCCUGUUCUCAGAUCUUUAGUCUAUUCCAUUGAUUUAUGUUUACUCCUGUGCUUGUAAUAACACAUUAUUUAAUUGAUAUUGCUUUAACAUAACUCUUGAUAUCUGGUAAGACAGGUUUUAUUUUAUUUGUUGUAUUCUUA
rnacentral:lncRNA from 10 species